CGGAUCGAGGCAUGCCUUGAUAAGCUGCGCACUGUUGACGUUCUCAGUCAACAGUGAGCAGCCAGAACGCUGCAUGUGGUGAUCCGGGCACAAUAUGUGAAAUUGUCCCCGGGUGUGACACGCCACGGCAGGAAAUGAAGCACUGAAGAAAGACUGGAUUUAAAUGAAACCAUUAGGAGGAUUUUAUAACUUGAAGAAGUCCGGGGGGGUGUGGUCGGGGACCACCUCCAUCGGGGCCCCCACCAGGUUCUGCUGUAGGGGGGCGGAGCACUCAGCCUGUACGGCCUGGUCCAGAGCUGCGUCGAGGGUCUGGGGCUCGGUGAGGCGGACAUGCUGCCCCAGACACUCCGGCACCAGUCCCCGCAGGAAGGCGUGGAGCGCCAGGGCCUCCCGUGCAGCCGCGGGGGAAUUCCGGGUAGCCGCGUUGGGUCAUCAGCUGGACAUCAGCAGCAUAGACCCCGAGGCUCUCCUCCUCCUUGCGGCGUUGGGAAGCCGGCAACUGCCGGCUCUGGUUGCGGAAGACCCGCUCACUGAACCGCCUCUCCAGUGC
ensembl:lncRNA